CCCCUCCCCCUUCGCGCUAUGUGUAUGUAUACGGAGGAGGAGAGAGAGCGCGCGCGAGAGAGAGAGGUCCUGUAAGCUAGCAGGCACGCGCACGGACGCGCGCCACCCCAGCUCGCCUGUGCUCGCGACUAAUCUUUUAGCCCGGCUGCCAUUACCGCCGAGAGACCUCACACGGCUGUGACGUCUGCGAUAAUGCCCAGAAAGGGCGGGGAAGGGCUGACCGGAGGAGGAGGGAAAAAUAGUCCCUCUACAGCAAACGAGGAUUUGCGCUAGAAGCGAACGGACUCUUGUGUAAACCCCCCCCCCCCAUGGUCGCUCGUGUUUGUUUACAUCCUAUUAACAUGUUGUGCUCACUCGACCGCGAGGAUGUGGUUCCACGUUCGCUAAGACAGCCCAGCGCGGAAGUUUAUGCGGAGAUUUCAGUUUGAGUAGUUGGUUUCUUUUUGAAGAAGCGUCUCCGAGGAAGGGACCAAAGAGAGUAGUGAAGCGGCUUUCAGUCUUCCGUUCUGCCUGCCUUAGAGACGGAGAGUUAAAUCGCUGCACAGCUUUCUUCCAAAGGACGAUGCGAAUUCAUGCGGGUUUACUUUCUUUGCACGCGGCAGCAGUCUCCUCACCCUCGUUCUUAGCGGUCAUAGUAGUUUGCAUGGUCUGUUUUGACUUGCAGCCAGAAGCUGGUUUACGCGGAAUUAAGCCCCGCUGUGUUAAAUGGGACUUAACUCCCAGAAGUCAAGAUGGACAAAGGGAAACCAGAAUGGUAUACUCUCAUUUGAUUGUGCUCCAGCUGCUCCAAGCCUCAGCCAUGUAUUGUCAAGUGCUAGAAUGCACAGAUAUGAUACCUAUUGGCAAUGUCACACAAUUUCCAUACAUUUUAUAAUUUAUUCAAUUUCUAUAUUGCCUUUCAUAAGACAUCUCAAGGCUGUAUACAUCAUGUAUAUCCUAUGUUUAUAAUAUGGAUAUUAGACUGCAGAGACAGCUCUCUCAUUCAUAUUAUACUGGUUUCCUAUUGCUGUUUCUCUUAAAUUUAUUGUUUGUAGUUUGCACGUUUAUUGAUUUUAUUGCAUUAUUUGUAUGCUGCUUUGGAUGCUGAAAAGUGGAAUUGCUGGAUAGAAAUAUUUUAAAUAAAUAAAAACAAUAUCAUUGCAGCAUAAUCACAAUUUUAACUUCAGUGUGACGCUCAAGCAAUCUUCCAAAUCCAUCUCCAUUACUCUAAUGGUACCCCAAAAACUGAGAUACUGAAUCAGACAAACUUAACAAUAGCCUGUAUAUGAUUCCAAUUGGACCUUUUGGAUUUUCGAUGCUUAAGCAGUUCAAUAAUAUUUUUUCCUUAACUCCCUGUAUUUCAUUACUGACAUGUCUCAGUUGCAAAGAUAGAGAUAGUGUUUGACAUCUCCAGGUAGGAUUAGGAAAGAACUUCAGAAACUCUGUGUUGCCACGGCAGUGUUCCUCCCUGCUCCCUAACAAAAAGUAGGAGCAAAAAAAGAAGUUCCUCUCUCCAGACAGUGGCUGACAUCUCUACUGCCAAAGGAUGCAUGCUUCAAGUAAUUCUAGGAUCACAGUGAAAGUUUGUAUGCUGCUCUGUUGUAUUCUGAAUUAUGAGAGCAAUUGCACAAAUGCAAGAGCAUUAAUUUCAGAGCAUAUUCCAAAAUAUUACCAUAUUUUAUUAUAAAUGGUGUUUUUGGAGACAUACUUUUAUGUAUUUAAUUUCCAUGGACCCCUGGCUAAGAACACUGUUAUGUAUGGUGAUGUGCAUUUAGUGUUAAUUAAUACAAUAACUAAAACUAUUGGGGGGGGUCAUUACAUUAACUAAAACGAUGGAUGGCAAACAGGAUUUAGUUUUAGAAUUGCUUCACUGUUGCCAGCAAUGAGGCUAGGAUAGAAGGUUAUUUAGGAAGUUAAGCUGCAGGAGGAGAGCAAGAAUCAUGAUGACUGGCAGCCCUCCUGCCCAUUUGGCUUGCAAACAUACGAAGCAGCACUGUGACACACACAGAAACCUGACCAUGAUGCUUGCUUUGAUGGUGCCACAACUUGGCAAUGCAGCCAGGGGCAAUAAGAAGGGGUCAUCUGAAAACUAGUGCCUAGAUUUUGCUCCUUCAGUGCUUACUUCCCAAACCACAUCCCAGUUCCAAACUCAAUCAGGUUUACAUUUGGUUUCUAUAUUUCAUUCCAUCCUUCUUAGUUUUACCUAGGUAUUUGUUUUUAUUGCAUUUUUGCAAUUGAGAGGGUGGUGGCCUCCCAGCUCCAGACAGUCUUGGAUGAAACUGAUUAUCUUGACCUAUUUCAAACUGGCUUUCAGGCUGGCUAUGGGGUAGAGACUGCCUUGGUCGACAUGAUGGAUGAUCUCCAAUUGGGAAUAGACAGAGGAAGUAUGACGCUGUUGGUCCUUUUGGACCUCUCGGUGGCUUUCGAUACUAUCGACCAUAGUAUCCUUCUGGAGCGUCUGAGGGGGUUGGGAGUUGGAGGCACUGCUCUGCAGUGGUUCCGCUCCUACCUCUCGGGCAGGUUCCAGAUGGUGUCCCUUGGAGACUGCUGUUCUUCAAAAUCUGAACUCUUGUAUGGUGUGCCUCAGGGCUCCAUAUUGUCUCUGAUGUUGUUUAACAUCUACAUGAAACCCCUGGGAGAGAUCAUCAAGAGAUUUGGUGCAGGGUGUCAGUAUGGUGAUCAGUAUGCUGAUGACACCCCAAUCUAUUUCUCCAUGUCAGCAUCAUCAGGAGAGGGCAUAACCUCCCUAAAUGCCUGCCUGGAGUCGGUGAUGGACUGGAUAAGGGAUAACAAACAGACUGAAUCCAGAUAAGAUAGAGAUACUCAUUUUGUGGGGUCGGAACUUGAGAGACUAUUUUGAUCUGCCUGUUCUGGAUGGGGUCACACUUCCCCAGAAGGAACCGGUAUGCAGUCUAGGAUCCAAGCCUCUCCCGGGUUGAGGCAGUGGCCAGAAGUGCCUUCUAUCAGCUUCAGCAGAUAUGUCAGCUGUGUCCAUUUCUUAAGGUGAAUGACCACAAAAUAGUGGUACAUCUGCUGGUAACCUCCAGACUGGAUUACUGCAAUGCGCUCUAUGUGGGCUGCCCUUGUAUGUAGUCCAGAAACUACAGUUGGUUCAGAAUGCAACAGCCAGGUUGGUCUCUGGGUCAUCUCGGAGAGACCAUAUAACUCCUGUAUUGAAGGAGCUACACUGGCUGCCGAUACGUUUCUGGGCAAAAUACAAAGUGCUGGUUAUAACCUAUAAAGUCCUAAACAGUUUGGGCCCUGGGUAUUUAAGAGAACGCCUUCUUCGUCAUGAACCCCAACGCCCACUGAGAUCCGCUGAAGAGGUUCGUCUGCAGUUGCCACCAGCUCGUAUGGUGGCCACUCGGGGACGGGCCUUUUCCGCUGCUGCCCCGAGGCUUUGGAAUGCGCUCCCUAGUGAAAUGAGAGCCUCCCCAUCUCUGACAGCUUUUAAAAAGUCUUUAAAGUUGCAUCUGUUCACCCAGGUUUUUAAUUAAUAUUGUUUUAAUGGUUUUAAUGCUGUUUCAAAAUAUUCUUUUAAAAUUUUAAAAUUGUAAUGUUUUUAACUUUUCAUUUUUGUUUUAACUAAUGUUUUAAUUUGUUUUAAUUUUGUUGUAAACUGCCCAGAGACGUAAGUUUUAGGCAGUAUAAAAAUGUUAAUAUAAAUAUA